rnacentral:rRNA from 1 species
GACGAACGCUGGCGGCGUGCUUAACACAUGCAAGUCGAACGGAAAGGCCCUGCUUUUGUGGGGUGCUCGAGUGGCGAACGGGUGAGUAACACGUGAGUAACCUGCCCUUGACUUUGGGAUAACUUCAGGAAACUGGGGCUAAUACCGGAUAGGAGCUCCUGCUGCAUGGUGGGGGUUGGAAAGUUUCGGCGGUUGGGGAUGGACUCGCGGCUUAUCAGCUUGUUGGUGGGGUAGUGGCUUACCAAGGCUUUGACGGGUAGCCGGCCUGAGAGGGUGACCGGCCACAUUGGGACUGCGAUACGGCGCAGACUCCUACGGGAGGCAGCAGUGGGGAAUAUUGCACAAUAGGCGGAAGCCUGAUGCAGCAACGCCGCGUGCGGGAUGACGGCCUUCGGGUUGUAAACCGCUUUCGCCUGUGACGAAGCGUGAGUGACGGUAAUGGGUAAAGAAGCACCGGCUAACUACGUG